GCCUCGGGAAGGUCCCCCCGGGGCCGGGUGUCACUGCUCCGAAUUCCCUCCGCUGGAGAUGGGUCUCGGGAAUCUCAGAUUUCUUGCACUGUGAGGAGACAGCUACCACAUCGUGCUAAACUUACCCAGCACCGUGGGAAGGUCUGUGAGAAGGAGCUUAGCCCACCAACUGCCAUCACAGAGAAGACUGAGGCAGGAGGAUUGCCAUAAGUUUGAGGACAUCCUACCUGAACUAUGAGUUGGGACCCUGUCUCAAAAAAAACACAGCCAGAGGCUGGCUGACUUCCUUGGGAACCCCGGCUCUUUAGCCACCAGCUGUCUGUUCUCUGAUGGGAAUCCUGUCUCUAGUGACCUCCUUACCUCCGUUUGCAGCUGAAUCAAAAUUCUUGAGGUUAGGUACUUUACAAAGAAAAGAGAAUCAACAGUUCCCAAUUCUGGAGGCUGAUGGUCUCAGACUGUGUAGCCCAUUCAGUCCAGUUUCUGUGACUCAUGGUGUCAAAACAGGUCCCAUCAAGGCAGAAGCCAGAGGGAUUCAGGGAUGAGGCUGUUUUGCUUUGUUUUGGUUUACUUUGUUUAACAUGAUAAACAAAAACUGGCUCUCUCAA
ensembl:processed_transcript 4930417H01Rik uncharacterized LOC110317491